GAACGCUGGCGGCGUGCUACUACAUGCUAUCAUCGAACGAGUUUGCUUUUAAUGAAGGCGGUGCUUGCACCAACUGAUUUAAAAAUAAACGAGUGGCGGACGGGUGAGUAACACGUGGGUAACCUACCCUAAAGUGGGGGAUAACAUUUGGAAACAGAUGCUAAUACCGCAUAAUAUUAAAAACCACAUGGUUUUUAAUUGAAAGACGGCGUAAGCUGUCACUUUUGGAUGGACCCGCGGCGUAUUAGCUAGUUGGUGAGGUAACGGCUCACCAAGGCGAUGAUACGUAGCCGACCUGAGAGGGUGAUCGGCCACAUUGGGACUGAGACACGGCCCAAACUCCUACGGGAGGCAGCAGUAGGGAAUCUUCCACAAUGGACGAAAGUCUGAUGGUGCAACGCCGCGUGAGUGAAGAAGGUUUUCGGAUCGUAAAACUCUGUUAUUGGACGAAGAACGUAUUUGGUAGUAACUGGCCAGAUAGUGACGGUAUCCAAUCAGAAAGCCACGGCCUAACUUACGUGCCAGCAGCCG
rnacentral:rRNA from 1 species